UACGUAGGUGACAAGCGUUGUCCGGAUUUACUGGGCGUAAAGAGCGCGCAGGCGGUCGAUCAAGUCGAGUGUGAAAGCCCCCGGCUCAACUGGGGAGGGUCAUUCGAUACUGAUCGACUCGAAGGCAGGAGAGGGUAGUGGAAUUCCCGGUGUAGUGGUGAAAUGCGUAGAUAUCGGGAGGAACACUAGUGGCGAAGGCGACUACCUGGCCUGUUCUUGACGCUGAGGCGCGAAAGCUAGGGGAGCAAACGGG
rnacentral:rRNA from 1 species